rnacentral:rRNA from 1 species
UACGAACUGUGCGAACGUUAUUCGGAAUCACUGGGCUUAAAGGGUGCGUAGGCGGUUUUCUAAGUCACGUGUGAAAUCUUCCGGCUCAACCGGAAAACUGCGCGUGAUACUGGAGAACUUGAGUGAGGUAGGGGUGUGUGGAACUUCCGGUGGAGCGGUGAAAUGUGUAGAGAUCGGAAGGAACGCCAGCAGCGAAAGCGGCACACUGGGCCUUUUCUGACGCUGAGGCACGAAAGCUAGGGGAGUGAACGGG